GGGAGGUGACCCUCGGUCUGGAGGAACUCGACGGUGGUGCGGCCGCCGAGGUGGGCCUUGAGGUAGGCGGCGACGGAGGCCGGGACGGAGACGUCGCGGGUGGUCUGGACGACGACGCAGGGGGCGCGGACCAUGCCGAGCACGCCGCGGAGGUCGGUCUUGAAGACGGUCUGGCAGACGUGGAGGGAGAUGUCCGGGCGCAUGUUGAAGAGGGUGCGGCUGAACUCCUGCACCGCCGCCGGCACGUCGGCGCCCACCGCCAGAGGCGCGUACCCCGUCG
rnacentral:misc_RNA from 1 species